AUUUUCCAUUGGUGAAGCCCGGUAGGAGUCUGAUUGCUAGAGAAGUCCAUUUGGGAUUCGCCUGAUGUGGAAGCUCGUCUGAAGAUGAUCCAUCGAAGAAGUUCGAUUUCAUGAAGGAUCUGGCAGAGGGUCGACCGACGAUGGACUUCGGAUGGCAUUGGGGAGGUUCGGCAGACGUCGGAGGUGAUCGAUUGUUGUAAGAAUCCAGCUGUCGGAGUCCGUCCGUUGU
rnacentral:lncRNA from 1 species